GUCUCUUCCUUUGGUUUUCUAUAUCCAGGGUUGUCUCCCUUUUUGCUUUCUUUAUUGUUUCUCUUUCCAUUUUCAAUUCCUUCACUGGUUUUAUUGUGUUUUCCUGGAAUUCUUUCAGAGAUUUUUGUGAUUCCUCUCUAUAGGCUUCUACUAGUUUAUUUAUGUUUUCCUCCGUUUCUCUAAGGGAGUUCUUUAUGUCUUUCUUGAAGUCCACCAUCAUCAUGAUCAAAUGUGAUUUAAAAUCAAGAUCUUGCUUUUCAGCCCUAUCUGGGAAGAGAGCUGCUCCUGAGUUUGUGUGGCCUGAAGACUCCAGGCGGAUAGCUUGGAGCAGAAGACUUGGUUUUACCUCUGCUCUCAGGAGCAAGAAGAAUUGUUCAAUGAAAAGAUCAGUAUACAGAAUAAACAACAUCAGGAAGAAAUGAGGAAAAUCAAGAUGUAAAAGGACUCUAGUUGUUCCGUCAUGUGAAAGGUCUAAGGAGAGCUGACUCCUCCCCUGCUCUCUCCUUUCAGGGAAGAAUUUUACUAACAUGCUUCGAACCAUCUCACAUUCAAAACAAAAUAAAAUUCUAAAUAAUAAUGGUG
ensembl:lncRNA LOC120100623 uncharacterized LOC120100623